UAUGAUUUGCAUUUUCAUAACCAAACAUACACUUAUUUGUGGUAAAUAGCAUCUCUCUUUUAAACUUUCACCUUUGCACUUGCAGGGCACAAUUCUAUUAUUCUUGACGGCAACUAUUAAUUCACUAAAGCCUCAUCCAUGUAGCAAUGAUUCAUCAAUCACAUGCAAACCACCAACAGGAAUCCAAUAUACAGUUUUAUACAUAAGCAUAGUGUUAAUAUCAAUUGGUUUUGGUGGUUCACGUUACACAGCAGCAUCACUAGGAGCCAAUCAAUUUAACAAACCAGAACAUCAGGGAAUAUUUUUCAACUGGUUCUUUUUCGCUUUCUAUGUUGCUUCAGGAGCUGCAUUAACUGGAAUUAUUUACAUUGAAGAUAAUUUGGGUUGGGCUACAGGAUUUGGUAUCUGUGUUGUGGCUGCUUUUGUUGGUGUGGUUAUUUUUUUGUCGGGUUAUCGAUUUUAUCGAGCCGAAAAGCUUCAAGGAAGUGCGGUUUUGGAUUUGGGACGUGUUUUUGUUGCAUCUGUUCGUAAGUGGAAGUGUAAGCUCUCAUCUAGAGUUGAGGAUUACUAUACUACCAAUGGUGAUGAUGUUAUGGUUCAAGUGCUACCUCCAGUUACACCAGGAAAAAGAUUAAGGUACUUUUUGGAUUUGUUUCACUUAAUUAAAAUACAUAAAUGUUAUAUCAAUAGAUUCAAUACUAAGUUAUAGAUAUUUUGAGAUUUGUUAGAGUUAAUUGCAUGUUAUUUAAGAUAGUUACAAUAUUUCAAUUUUCUUUUUUUAAGAUAGUUACAAGUUAGUUAUGAUUAGUAUAUAGUUGGUUAUAUUUGUUACUUUACAAUACUAAGUUUAAUGAGUUUUUAAUAAAUAUAAAUAUAAAUAUAUAAAGAUUGAGGAUUAAAAAAAAACAAAAUUAUACUAAUAAAAAAGCCUAGAACAAAGCACUAGGUGUACUUUGGUAAAAAGAAAGGUGUACUUUGGUUUGGUUAUGUCAAGCUUACAACUGAUGUUGAUUUGUGAUUGAUCAACUUUACAAGAAGUUUACAAUGACACCACAUACAUGAACACUUGAAAAUCAUGGUUAAUUCUCUCUAAAUGCAUGGUUGAUAAAGUUCAUAGAAGAUUAAUGAGUGGAGAAAUUGCUUUUGGUGUUGGAGUCCAUUGUUGUGAUGAUUUUCUUUCUGUUUCAAUAGAAAUGAUGAAGAAUCAAGGUCGUAGAUUUUAGUCGCAGAUAGUGGAGUGCUACUUUUUGAUGUCAAACCCUAAUGCGUAGCAAGUGUGAGUUAAAAAUCUCACGUUAUUUAUAAGUGAGAGCAUAAACUCAAUGCCUUAAGAUUUUGGGUUAAGAUGUGGUGUCCAACUCACUUGUGGUUGCUCUGACCUAGUGUGUAUGAUCCUCUGAACUCCACUCAUGACUCAACAAACCCUAACAAACAACAUUGCCUAACUGUUUUCUAACAGGGGAUGCAUCUUGUGAUAGUUUUGGUGGUGGAGAAAUCAGUGAUUUAUUUUACUGAAAGAAAAUCAUUACUUACAGUAAUUGUUGCUUCUUAAAUUGAGGCGAAAACACUGAAUAUGACUUGAGAUUUCAGCACCAUCUUACAUCGUGCUCCACGAGCAUGUGCUAAUAGCAUGAGUAUCAUGUGGUGGUGGUCGUGGUCAUAGUUUUGUCUAUAGUUGUAGCAGCAAACAUAUAUUAGUGGAGUGGGCAACUUUUAGUCAUGACCACAAUUGUCCAUACACCAUAGUUGUAGUAGUUAAGAUGAUAAACUAAUGGACCCAAGUCAUGUAAAAGUGCAUGACCUUUUUUCUUCUUCUUCUUUAAUUCAUUUAGAGUCUAUUUAGAGUGACUUGUUUAAAUUUAUCUACUAACAACAUAAGAAUUUGUGAGACAGUACGUGAGACAACCAUAAAGCGCUUAAUUAAAUUUAUUUAUUGUUAUACAAAUAGCUUACACAUACACAUUUAUAUGAUAAGCAUUUAUGAUACGCUAUACAUCGUUUAAUUAAAUUGUUUAUCCAAACAUGGCCGUACCAUUUUUAUCUAAACAAAUUUAGAUCAGGAGAGGCACAAUGCUAGAACUACCAACCUUGACAUUAGACAUACAAGGUAACAGAAAAAAAAUCGAAUUUAAAUCCAAGUUAGGGUCGGUAGGAGCCAAAGAUCCAACCAUCUAGACCAGCCAACUUUUAUUGGCUUGAUUGUUUCAUUUGUUAGUUAUGCUUUUUCUAAUAGAAACUAGAAGUUCCAGAUACUUAAGCAAUGAAAGGAGAAUAUACUUGAAGCUAUAUGCUAUAUAUAUAUAUAUAUAUAUAUUAACAAUGUGCUGAUCUAUAUGCAAAUGCAGGUUCUUCAAUCGGGCAUCUCUAAUAACUGAUGCAGACCUAAAAUCAGAUGGCUCAGUUAAAAAAUCAUCAUGGAGACUAUGCACAGUUCAACAAGUGGAUGAUUUCAAAAAAAUAAUUGGAAUCCUACCAUUGUGGUCUUCAAGUAUAUUCUUAGCAACUCCAAUAGCAAUCCAAAGUUGCUUGGUUGUACUUCAAGCUUUAGUCAUGGAUCGUUCAUUAGGACCCCAUUUUAAAAUCCCAGCUAGUUCUGUUUCUGUUAUAGUCUUGAUAUCAGCACCCAUUUUCCUCACAUUUCUUGACAGAGUGCUAUUACCAGGUUGGCAUAAGGUUACCAGGAAAAUGCCUAUGCCGCUCCAACGAAUAGGAGCAGGACAUGUGUUGACUGUUCUUGGCAUGGUUGUCUCUGCUCUUGUUGAAUCAAAGAGACUCAAAUUAGUACAUGUGCAUAAUGUUUCCAUGUCUGUGUUAUGGUUGUUUCCACAGUUAGUGUUGGUUGGUAUUGGAGAAGCUUUUCAUUUUCCUGGACAAGUUACAUUCUACUACCAACAAUUUCCACAAUCACUUAAGAACACAUCAACAGCAAUGAUUUCAAUGCUUAUAGGAAUUGCUUUUUAUUUGAGCACUGCUUUAAUUGACCAAGUUCGUAGGAGUACUGAUUGGUUACCUGAUGAAAUAAAUCAUGGCAAGGUUGAUAAUGUGUAUUGGAUGUUAGUAGUGUUUGGAGGUAUCAACUUUGUGUAUUACCUAUUGUGCUCUAUUUCUUACAAGUAUGAAAAUGUUUAGGAUGUGAUGUUAUGAUAAAUGUGGUUCUAUGGUUGGAAUAAUAAGUAAUAAUGAUAAUAUGUUCAUUUUUUGAUUUGUUGAAGUGAUGAUAAUAUUUUCUUCUCUCCUGCAUUUUACCAUGGAAAAUAUUAUUUAUGACAUUGCAUAUGCACACUAGUAAGGGGGCUUUCUCGUCCAAAGCCGAGUACUAUGUUUCAUUUCCUUUUGUUGAGAUUUUCUAUAAUAGUUGGAUGUACGAUUAGGGAAAAGAUUGUCUAUUUAAUUAAAGAGAGAAUUUUGCCAUGCUUAGCACACCUGCAUGGCUAAAAACAUCAAAAUGAUUUCAUAUAAAUUCUAUGUUUUGGGGUGAUGUUUCCAGGUUUAGCAGAUUACAUCGGAAGAUGGAGGUGUAACCAAUAACUCAUCGACCAUUCAAUGUCUUGAGUGCGCCAAACGUCUAGAGUUUAAGAUUUGGUUAUUAUAUGUAUGAAAAGAUCUCAAAUUUCUUUUACUUGUAACUAUUUUACAAAGUUGAUCAAUUAGUGCAUUUUCAGUUAAAGUCUAAAUAAUUAGUUCAUUCUGAGAUAGAACUUUAUUGUUGUUUCUUUGCAUCAUAAAAUUUAUAAGAUGAGGAAAUAAAUUAGUGAAGUUAAUUUAUGAUUCUAAUUUAGAAAAUUAGUGAAGUUAACAUAGAAAAUUCAACAUUCAGAGGUGUAACCCCUUUUAUUCAACAAAAAAAAAAAGUUCAACAUCAAUCAUCUAUCACAGGUUGAUCUUCAUAUCAUUUUCAGACCAGCUGCAGUGUUCUGAUUAUCUUAGUUUGAAAGCAUGUUUGCUGCUGUUCAAUUUUCAAAUGAUGUAGAAUUUCAUAUUAAUUUUUGGAGCCUUGACAAAAGGUACUAGGAUUUCAGGCUUGUCACAUACGAAGCAUGGCCAUGACAAAAUUGUUCUUAUGAGGCAAGCUGAGCAUGAAUGAACUUUAUCCUGCAGAAUUUAUGGUUAGCCUAUGAUCUUCAAAGUGGCCUUGGUCUAGUAUCUGAAGAUGAUCAUAAUCUUUCAUUUCAUGCUAUGGAUUGGUGUUCUAAUUGUCCUCUUAUUAGGAUUCCAUCUUUAGAGAUAGUUGGGUUUACCAAACUUUUGGUUGAGGUUGGGUCCCAAAACAAUUUUCAUUAGCUAUUGAUCAUAGAGAAAAUGGAAGAAAGAGAAAAUUAAAUGUAAUUUGCAUUUAAUUUCGUGAGAAUAAACAAACGUUUUUUUUUUUGUUUGAAAAAGAUGAUUUAAAAAAACAAGAUUAAAUAGGAUAAAAGUUUAUCUUUUUUAUUUACAUUUUGGGACGGAUGGAGUAUUUCUUUUUAGAGUUUUUCUAUUUACACCUCAUAUUUUUCUGGUUACAUCCAAAUUUUCUUAAAUUUUUUUUAUAAUACCAAAAUUGUCAUUUUAUAUAAAUUUUCUUAAAACCCUAAUUUUAUUCAUUGUCGGUGAGUUUUACCCUCUUUCACCCCACAAAGCGAUCAAUCAAACAAUUUGAUGUUCAAUAUCAAUCUCCAUGAAAAUUAAAGAGUGAAUCAAAAUAUUUUUCAUCCAUACUCAAUUGGAUAUAAGUAAGUGAAUUUCUUCUUCUAUUUGCUAGUUUCAAUUUUUUUCCUUCAACUGCAAUGAUGCACUGUACGAUUACGAUUUUAAUUUACAUUGGCAAGGUUAACUUACAUGAACCUACUUAAACUGAGUUUACAUGAACCUACUUAAAUUGAGUUUACAUGAACCUACUUAAACUGAGUUUACAUGAACCUACUUAAACUGAGUUUACAAAAUCGCAGAACUGCGAAUCGCAGAACAAGGAAAAUACAAAAUCAGAACUGAGAACCCAUAACAAGAAAAACACAAUCGAUUGAAGAACAACACUUGCUAACCUGAUUUGCUUCUAAUUUUCUUUGAAAUCAUGAAUGGACGUGAGAAAGUAUGGUUUUGAAAAUCUUCGCAGAACACAAUCGAUCGAUUGGAGAAUUAUGGUUUUGGAAGAAGGGUUUUGGGGUGUAACCAAAAAAGAAGGAAUAUGCUUUUUGAAAAUCAAAUUUUAUGAAAGGGUAAUCUUGUCAUUUUGGGGUGCAACUAUGAUUAACUAGGGUGCAAGUAGAAAAACUCAAAAUGUUAUUUCCACAAAAUUUAAUUCUACAUAUUUAAAAUUAUGUCAACCCUUAUAAAUCUUUCAAAAAAAAAUAAUUAUUUCAGCCCUCAUUUUAUGUUUGAAAUUGGAGAAGUCAUUUGAGUUUUCCUAAAUGUUUGUGUGUUGAGAAUUUUCAGUAGGGGUGUUUUUUAUCUUUCUAGUAUUGUGUAUACACUUUUAUUUAGUUACAUGAUGAAAUAUAUUUAGCGAAAGAGCUUCCUGGUGAGUACUCUUGGAGCACAAGAGAGUACUACGUCACAUAACAGCACCAUCAAUGAUAAGUGAAAUUAGUGGAUUGAAUUUUUUAACUUGUGAAACUGUUAUUAAGAAGCAAUGUUUCAUGACAAAAAGUCAAAAAUAAAAUGAAGAAGAAAAAAACUGGAAAAAAGAAGAAAGACAGCCAGAAGGCCACGAAAAAGAAAGCCAGAAAAUAGUCUCGUUGAAGAGGCAAAACACGAUACAAAUAACUAGUUGUGAGAGUCUCACAAAGUUUCACAAGUUUUUGUGAGAUGGUUAAAUAGGUGUGGUACUCAUAUUUUUAACUAAAAAGUCUCAUAAAAUCCAUCAUUUCAAAGAAUCCAUCUAAAUCUUUAUAUUUUUGAAUACCAGACAUUUUAUAAGUUAUGAAAAAUCUUGAUUGAAUACCAAUGAAUUUCGUAGUCUUGAAUAAAAAAUCUUGAUUAUUGAAUACCUCAAGAUUCUUUUAUAUUCUAAAAAUGUCUUGAUUGAAUACCACAAGAUUGUUUUAUAGUUAAAAAGUUUUUUAAAAUCUCUUGAAAUCCUAAUCGAAUACACCCCCUUAUUCUUCUAUCUUAUUAUUGAUCAAAAACAAUAGUGAGAGAAAGAGGAAGAAAGAGAGUAAGAAUACAAUAGAUUGUCAUAAAAUAUGAUUGUACAAAUAUCAUUUAUCUAUUCAUAAUAACUACCAUUCUCUUUUUUCAGCAAAUAGCAUAAUGAUGAGAAUAACACUACAGGUUUGAGCCCACGAUCAAGGAUUGCUUUGUAAUUUUGCUACAUUGAGAGACUAUUAUGGCUACUCGUUAUACAUUUAGGAACGAAAAUGAAUAUUUGUCCAUCAAUCGAACGGUAACCGAAAAACCCAAGAAAGGAUUUGAAGAGGUUUCUGGUAAAGCUGCCGGAAAUGUAAACACAAGUAUUUCUAAAAUUUGGCUGAACUCGGAAACGUUGUAUACUGAUUACUGGAAAAAGAAAAUACAAAUCGAUAGGUUUGAGGUGGUGGUUUUGUCAUGCGGGGGUGAACUCAAAAAUGUUGAAAGUGAGUGAAAAUUAAUGUGUAAAAAAUUAAAUGGUAAAAAGGAUAAAAUUGGAAUUUUUUAAGAAUUGUAGGGGUGAAAGUACAUACGGCUAAUAAUAUAUGAAAAUAAGGCUAAUAAUACAUUCUUUAACAUAUUUAUUAAAAAAAAUACAAUCUUUAACACAUAUUUUCUCUUAUCAAUUAAAAUUUAUGAGUCUCACUAAAUUUAGAUGGGAACCAUAUAAUAUGAUGGAAGUGGAACACAUAAAUUUUAGUCAAUAAAAUCAAGUCCGUUGAAAAAUGUGUUAAGAGUGUGUCGUAGCACUCCUCUUUUAACUUGCAUUUCUAAGAUUGAAUUUCAAAUUAAAAGACCAAUUGUUCCGAAACAAUCUCAUCCAAUCAACCGCACUUUGGUCACGUCUGCAUUUUUGUAUCGCCAAAUUAUAUAUUCUUUCCAACAACAAAAGUUCAUUGAUUCUCCACGUUUUUUUGGACAAAGGCUCAAGUUAACUAGAAAGUAGAAAAAACAUUUUUAUUAUAAAAAGAACACCAACUGGAUUGUAAAACAGCACAAGACAAGAAGUGAGGUGAAGUGCAACAAUGGAUGGUAAGGUAGAAGCAUCCUCAAAAGAAGCAGAUGAGAGUUUGAGUAUUGGGAGCAAGCGUGGUGGUUGGAUAAGUUUCCCUUUCUUCAUUGGUAUCUCUUCUUCCUUUCAUCUUUGAACUCUCAUCAACAUUAUGCACUCACUUUACACAUCAAAAGUUUUUUUUCUUCUUCCGUUUUAACCUCGAUAUCAUGAUUUUUACAAGAAAGAGAUCAUAAUAAUCUGAAAUUUGAUUAAAAGGUAAAUAGACUAUGAUUAAUAAUGAUUAUUUCAGUUAUGAUUCAUACUCAUAUUCUCAUGAAAUAUUAGUCUAUUUUGUUUGUUUUAAAGAGGGUAUGUAUCGUCGAAACUCAUAUACACUACUAAAUACACGUCACAACGUAUCAAAUGUUCUUGCAAACAAUUUGAGUCCAUCAACUAGGUAUAAAUGUUAAAAGGAUGAUCAUAUUUUUUUUAUGUUGUUGAUUAAAUUAUAGGUAUGGUAGCGGGGUUGUCACUAGCAAGUGCAGGAAUUGGGGGGAAUUUGAUUGUAUAUCUUAUAAAAGAAUUCAAUAUAAAGAGCAUCAAUGCAGCUCAAAUUGUAAACGUUGUUGUUGGAAGCUCCAAUCUAUUACCAAUCAUUGCUGCAAUCCUUGCUGAUUCUUUCUUUGGCUCUUUCUCUGUUGCCUUUACAACUUCUUGUGUUGCUUUGCUGGUAAACUACAUCAAACUAUAUCUCUAUAUCCAUAUAUAUAUGCAAGCAUUUUCCAUUCACCAAAAAAAAUUAUGCAAGCAUUUUCUUUUGUUUUCUGCUUAAUCUAUUUAUUUGUUAGAUUUGUUAGAUUUUCAGAUGAAGUGUUUCCUUUGGGUUUUUUUUUAUUUUAUGGAAGCCUUUGCUGAAUAAAUGAGAAAUUUUAAUCAAAUUUAUCAAGUACUUUGAAAACAAAUACUAACAGUAUAUCCAGUAUAAAAUAAAAUAAAAAUUUAACAGUAUAUUCUUCCUGAUCACACACACUUUUAUAUUGAUUUGAAAUUUUAUAAGACUUACAUUUAAUUUCAUGAAACUCAUUUUUUUUUUUUUUGGUUAUAACAUGAAACUCAUUUAAGUUUCAAUAAACGAGAAAAUGUAUUAAAAAUAUGUUUAUGCUUUUAGCACUCAACUCAUUUAAGUUUCAAUAAAUGAGAAAAUGUAUUAAAAAUAUGUUUAUGCUUUUAGCACUCGUCAACUUUGGAAAAAAGGAUCCCUCAAAAAAAAAAAAAAAAAACUUUGGAAGAAGGAAAAGAACAAAAGUGUAACACCUACUAUUUUUUUAACUAAGUUCAAUCAUGAUCAAAUAAUGUAGGACUAAAUCACAAACAUCAACUAUUAACCAUGAUUUUGUAUAAAGUUCAAAUCAUGAUCAAAUAAUUGUAGUAAUAAUUCCACAAACAUCAAUUAUUAACCAUGAUUCUGUAUCUCCUUUCUUUGGGUCGAUAAUGACACAUUAUGAAAAGUAAAACGCUGAUUAAUAUAACUCCAUCAAAUGACAAAUCAUUCGAAGAAUUCAACCUUAAUUUAGAAUGGAAUAAUUAUUAUUCAAAUUUUAAUUACCUUAUGAUCAAACUUCGAAUUACUAGACCUCUCUAAUCUAAAAAUCGGAGUGUUAAACAAUAUAUAUAUAUAUAUAUAUAUAUAUAUAUAUAUAUAUAUAUAUAUAUAUAUAACACACACAAAUAAACACUAACUAGUGUCUUAUAGACAAAUGUUAAUAAACUCAAUAGGGAAAUAUCCAUCUUAAAAAUCAUACAUUUAACUAAGAACCUUUCAAUCAUGCAUUUUUAUUUUAAUAUUCUCUUUGUUUAACAAUUAGUGUCAUUUUAGUAAAAAAAAUAUUUCGAAAUAAAUGACAAUUUCAAUUUCUAUUGCAAUAUUAGUUAUUUCUUUUCAAUUAAACUCUCUAAAUACGUUACUCCCAACAUAUUGCUUCUACUUUACAUUUAUGAUACUAAAAAAGACAACAAAAGAUAGUUUGGUAAAAUAAUUAUUUUCUUUUAAUAUUUAAAAUAUUACUUCUAUUUUACAUUUAUGAUACUAGAAAAUACAACAAAGGAUAAUUCUCUUUUUUUUUUAAUCGUUGGAUCUCUUAAUAUAUGUGUGAAAAUCUGAAAGGAAAUUCAUUUUGAAAUGGAGAGAGUAAUUUCCAUCAAGAUCGGAUUGAAAUUAGGAGAUACUAAAACAAAUAUGCAGUGACAUUGACCCAAAUAAAAAAAAAUAAAACAAACAUAAAUGUAAUAAGAAAAUAAAAUCAACAUGUGAUUUCAAAAUGUCAAUCCAUCAUAAACACUUUGUAACAUUUUAAAAAAAAUAUAUAUUUUAUUAUAGUUUUUUAAUUUUUAAUUUUUUUUAGAAAUGACAAUAGAAAUUUGUUUAAAAACUACUUAAAUCAAAAUAAUGUUUUAUAAAAUGAUCCUAAAAACUAUUUUGAAUGUAUGAUUUUAUUAUAAUAUACAAACACAAAAUAGUAUCAAAAUUAAAUUCAUAUCAUUUUUUUUUUUUCUGUUUUAAAAAGUCUAGCAGUGAAAUUCAUACAAUCUAACGGUUGAAGUGCAGAAUUACGAGUUUGAUUCAACUUCUUAAUGUAUCAAAUGUUUUUGCAACUUUUUAUCACCCGAAUUGUACUUACAUGACAUUCAUAUCGAUUCUUUAAUUGACUUGAUUUGAAAUGAUUGAUUCUAUAAAGUUAAAUGUAAAGUGGUAUAUUGUUUGAUACAUUAUGUAAACGUGAGUUGAAAACAAUUUCAAGACUAAAUUCUAAGUUUAAUUGAAAAUCAAUUCUACUCGAGAACAUACAAACAUGUCAAAAUUUAUUCUACACAUUUAUAAUUAAUUUGGGCGCCUCAAGUGUAAAUCAAACAUACAUUUUUUUGUACCGAAUACUCAUUUAAAUUUUCACAUUUGAAUUUGCAGGGCACAAUUCUUUUAACCUUAACAGCAACAAUCAAUUCAUUAAAGCCUCAUCCAUGCAGCAAUGAUUCAUCCAUCACAUGCAUACCACCAACAGGAAUCCAAUAUACAGUUUUAUACAUAAGCAUAGUCCUAAUAUCAAUUGGUUUUGGUGGUUCACGUUUCACAGCAGCAUCACUAGGUGCAAAUCAGUUU
rnacentral:lncRNA from 1 species